CUCUUUGCGCUUGGGGCAAUGAUGCAGUUAGUGAGGUGAAACCGAGACGCGUCAAUUGCUGGUUGAAACCUAUUUCCAAACUAU
rnacentral:snRNA from 1 species